AUUCCAGCUCCAAUAGCGUAUAUUAAUGUUGUUGCAGUUAAAAAGCUCGUAGUUGGAUUUCUGGUUGGACCGCGAUGCCGGACCGCAAGGGUUCGUGAUUGUUGUGGUUUCCUUCCAUCCUCAGGUUUGCGCGUGCUGGCCUUAACUGGUCGGUGGGUGUGGUCCUGUCGUUUACUGUGAACAAAUUAGAGUGUUCAAAGCAAGGUGUACUUGAAUACAUUAGCAUGGAAUAAUAAGAUAGGACUUUGGUGGUUCUUUCGAGAUAUUUUGUUGGUUUGCACGCCAAAGUAAUGAUUAAUAGGAGCAGUUGGGGGUAUUCGUAUUCAAUUGUCAGAGGUGAAAUUCUUGGAUUUAUAGAAGACGAACUACUGCGAAAGCAUUUACCAAGGAUGUUUUCAUUA
rnacentral:rRNA from 1 species